GACCGAGGGUGCAAACGUUGUUCGGAAUUACUGGGCGUAAAGCGUGUGUAGGCGGUUUGGUAAGUCGGAUGUGAAAGCCCCGGGCUCAACCCGGGAAGUGCACUCGAUACUGCCAGGCUAGAGUAUCGGAGAGGUUGGUGGAAUUCUCGGUGUAGAGGUGAAAUUCGUAGAUAUCGAGAGGAACACCGGUGGCGAAGGCGGCCAACUGGACGAAUACUGACGCUGAGACUCGAAAGCGUGGGGAGCAAACAGG
rnacentral:rRNA from 1 species